rnacentral:rRNA from 1 species
UACGUAGGGGGCAAGCGUUGUCUGGAUUUAUUGGGCGUAAAGAGCGUGUAGGCGGCCAGACAAGUCUGCUGUGAAAACUCGAGGCUCAACCUCGAGCUGUCGGUGGAAACUGUCUGGCUAGAGUCCGGAAGAGGAGAGUGGAAUUCCUGGUGUAGCGGUGAAAUGCGCAGAUAUCAGGAAGAACACCCGUGGCGAAAGCGGCUCUCUGGAACGGUACUGACGCUGAGACGCGAAAGCGUGGGGAGCGAACAGG